rnacentral:rRNA from 1 species
CAGAGUACGUGAAACUGCUUAGAGGUUAAGCCCGAUGAACCUGAAUAUCCAUUAUAGAAUAUUCAACAUUAUGACUUUAAUAUUUUUAUAAUAUUAUUAUAAUAGUGUGCAAUUUUUCUAUAAAAGGACAUUGUAAUCUAUUAACAUAUAAAUAAUUUAUCAUAAGAUCAAUUUGCAAAAGUUUAUUCAAAUUAUUUUGUUUUACAAUUUUAAUAUAGAAUAAAUGCAUUUGAUUUGAUAAAGUGUUGAUAGAUUUAUAUAAUAUAGUGCUUAAAUAUAUAUUAAUUUAUAUAUUUUAUGAUAGCAUAUUAAUCAUUGAUUAUUAUGUUUUAUUAUAUGCACUUAUAUGAUUAACAAUGCGAAAGAUUCAGGAUACCUUCGGGACCCGUCUUGAAACACGGACCAAGGAGUCUAACAUAUUUGCAAGUUAUUGGGUAUAUUAAAACCUAAUAGCGUAAUUAACAUAACUAAUAUUAUUUUAAUAAUAUUAUGGGAUUAGUUUUUAGUCUAAAUUUUAGUCUAAUAAUUCAAUCCCGGGGCGUUCUUAUAAAGUUAUGUAUAAUAAUAUUUAUAUUAUUUAUACCUCUAACUGGAGCGUACCUUGAGCAUAUAUGCUGUGAC